CUUGGCCUUGGGUACACAAUCAUUCGCCCUGGUCCCCUAAAGGAAGAACCUGGUGGGCAACAUGCUCUCAUAUUUGAUCAAGGAAACAGAAUUUCUCAGGGCAUCAGCUGUGCCGAUGUGGCUGAUAUCUGUGUGAAGGCAUUGCACGAUUCAACUGCAAGGAACAAAAGCUUUGAUGUAUGUUACGAGUGUGUGGCUGAGCGAGGACAGGAGCUCUAUGAGCUGGU